GACGAACGCUGGCGGCGUGCCUAAUACAUGCAAGUGGGACGCAAGGAAACACACUGUGCUUGCACACCGUGUUUUCUUGAGUCGCGAACGGGUGAGUAACGCGUAGGUAACCUGCCUAUUAGCGGGGGAUAACUAUUGGAAACGAUAGCUAAUACCGCAUAAUAUUCAUUAUUGCAUGAUAAUUGAUUGAAAGAUGCAAGCGCAUCACUAGUAGAUGGACCUGCGUUGUAUUAGCUAGUUGGUAAGGUAAGAGCUUACCAAGGCGACGAUACAUAGCCGACCUGAGAGGGUGAUCGGCCACACUGGGACUGAGACACGGCCCAGACUCCUACGGGAGGCAGCAGUAGGGAAUCUUCGGCAAUGGACGAAAGUCUGACCGAGCAACGCCGCGUGAGUGAAGAAGGUUUUCGGAUCGUAAAGCUCUGUUGUAAGUCAAGAACGUGUGUGAGAGUGGAAAGUUCACACAGUGACGGUAGCUUACCAGAAAGGGACGGCUAACUACGUG
rnacentral:rRNA from 1 species